GCCAUUGGGAGGGGGGGGGUCAAAGUUAUUCACGCCGGUGUGUAGCUGCGGCCAAACAGCGGUGAAGCUAAGAAGUAACAGCGGUGGAGGUUUACGGCCGAUGCCAGAUUCGUGGUAAAUCUUUGAUGACUUUGCGGCGAACGGUGCUGCCACGACCAACCUAUAUUUGCCUUUUGUAAUUCACGGAAGCGCAUAAUAUCUUGCAUUAUCGCGUUAAUUAGUCACCCUUUAAUCCCCCUACACAUUAAUUUAGGGUAUAUAUUUUAUACCCUAGGAAACGCGAAAUGUAAAUUGUGGAAUGUUCCGUUAAUAAUAAUGGAAAUUUGAAGAAGAAAAGCUAAAGAAGCUAAGAAAAUUAAGAAAGUAAUUAUAAUGCAAAGGAUUGAAUAAAAUUGAUAUAAGAUACAUUGGAAUAUGUGAUAUUUUGUGACAUUUUGGAUUAUAUAAUAUAUCAGAUAAUAAUAUACAUUAAAGUACAUCAAAGACUAUAAAUUUAAAAAAAAAAGGUUCAAAAGAAACGUGGAAAUCAACUUUAUGCUCGAUCACAAAACAUAUCUUCCUCGAAGCAAAAAUACCAAGAAUCUCUUUCUCUCUUUCCAGGAAAGUGUAUUCAAGUAUUCUCGAGGAAUCUCGUAUGAUUUACGAUAAGAGAGAGAGAGAGAGAGAGAGAGAGAGAGAGAGAGAGAGAGAGAGAGAGAGAGAGACAGCAGAGUUGCCUACGAAACGACAAGGAAAAUUAUUUUCGUAUCCGUCCCACUUUCAAGAACCAGUCAACGAUUUACACUCCUGAUACGUCGAUUCCGUGGCCCUUGUGCGACAAUGUACAACAUCCCUCCAUUCCUUAAAAAUGGAAGCAACGAAAAUGCAUUCCGCCUCGGCGGAAUGCGCGCAUGUUGCAUGGGAAACGGAGACACUGAUUUCUCCUUUAUUUCUGCUUCGUGGUGAUAUGUCUCGACAGAAAUAUCCCUUGUAUUCGUGAACUUUGAUAUUCGUAGGUGGACGUAUACGUAUGUAUCGUUUCGAAUAUCGAGAUCUUUUUCUUUGUCAAGCAAUCGUGCAUCUCUUUUUUGAAGAUCUUGAAUUUGGUUUGGUUAGGUAUAUACAAUUUCGAGUAUAUAAGAUUUCUUUCUUUGGUAAGUAGUUGUACGAGACUCUCUUUUGUUGAAGAUCUUGGGUUUGGUUAAAUUAAAUAUGUAUCAUUUUUUUUUUCCUUUUUCGUUUGUCUCUUUUUCAUCAAGAUUUUAGGUUAGGUGAAUUUCUUUCUUAAGGAUUUUUUUUUUCAGUUUCAGGAAUUAAUGUGAACAUGUAAUCGGACACUAAUGUAUUCUUAUGAUUAUUGAUAUAUUAUUUAUUCUGUGAAUUUGAAGAUAGAAUAAACCCAACGUGAUCUUUGUGUGUCAUAAAAGGAAACUAAAAGGAAGCCAUCAAUGAGUAAUACUUGACAAAUUUAUGGAAUAUGCAAUUAUGGUGUAUCUGAACAAAGAUUAAUAAAUAAUUCAAAGUGUGGAAAAACGAAAGGCUUCAUCGAUAUCCCCGGCAAUUGUGUCAGAAUUCGACGAUAUACACGCGUUAGCAACAAAAUGGCGACAAGCUGAACUGAUUUUAUUCACGACCUUUGUCGCGGAAGUACUUUAGAUGCGGGUGAUGGGCCGCAGAGGAAAAAUAGCGGAAAGUUUUCCAUUUUAGAUGGGCCACCGAUAAAGGAAAGAGAGGCACGUAUAAUGGGACGUGUCUUCUCUACGAUUCCACCUCAAGAACGAUCUGCUUGCACUUCUAUCUAUAAUUCAUCCUCAGAAAUCGUCCUCAUACAUUCAAAAUUAUUCCAUUAUUUUUUUCUAUUUAUUUCAAUUUUCUUUCUACCAUAAUGCAACAGAGAAAAGAAUUAGAUAUAAAUAAUAUAUGAUUGAUAAUUUAGAGAUAGUUAACAAAGAUUAGAAAACAAAUUUCUGUAGAAAGAUUAGAAUACAAUAACUGGAAGCAAUGUUUCGAUUAUUAUUGGCUUAUUUGUGAGACGAACAGUAGAGUAAUUAGAAUGGUUGAUUAAGUCUUUAAUAGAUUCGAUUGUUAUUUGAUUGAGAAAUAUAGAUAAUAUAUAGCUACCUAAUAUAGUCACAAUUGUGUAUUCAUUCUCUUUGUAGGAAGUAAUAUUAUAUACAUCUUCAAAAGGAGGAAAGCAGAAUUAAAUCAUUAACAUAAUAUUAGCUGUAAAACAUUGCAGUUAGUUCCUGGCUUCUGUUAUUAUGAAGACACGUUUCAAAAGAUAAAUUCUAUGGUUUAAACCACAGUGUGGAUAAACUGAAAUUAAAUCAAGCUAUUUUAAUGAUAAAUUUGACUUCCAUAACUGAACACUUCUGUAUGCAUUAAUUCAUAAUCCGUAAUUUUAUCGGAAGCAAAUAAUAACGAUCAAUAAAAAAAAAAAAAAUAAGUUCUGAAAUUUUCGAAAG